AGGUCACCAGCGGAACCUGGGCGUGUCCCCGGCUGUCUAUCCCAUCAUACCUUGCACCAGAAUGAUGAUAUGGUUUGUGUCUAGAUGUUAGUGGAACUGCACGGACAGCGUACCUCCCAACACCUUGUGUGAGAGGUAUUGUGGGAAACAUGAGUCCUACCUUCACAUCUUAUCCUCAGGGCGUGACACAGAGCAAGAAUGGCUUUUGCUUUCCCAUCCACAAUAUCUGCAAGAAACAAAUAAACAAACACGGUCAUAUCCACUUACUUACUAGUACUUAUAUCUUACUGUUAUAAAAACUAGCUUUUCAACCU